AUUGAACGAUGGCGGCAGGACUAACACAUGCAAGUCGAACGAGUGGCGGACCGGUGAGUAAUGUCUGGGAAACUGCCUGAUGGAGGGGGAUAACUACUGGAAACGGUUGCUAAUACCGCUUACCAUCAGAUGCGCCCAGAUGGGAUUAGCUAGUUGGUGGGGUAACGGCGCAGCAAGGCGACGAUCCCUAGCUGGUCUGAGAGGAUGACCAGCCACACUGGAACUGAGACACGGUCCAGACUCCUACGCGAGGCAGCAGUGGGGAAUAUUGCACAAUGGGCGCAAGCCUGAUGCAGCCAUGCCGCGUGUAUGAAGAAGGCCUUCGGGUUGUAAAGUACUUUCAGCGGGGAGGCGUUACCCGCAGAAGAAGCACCGGCUAACUCCGUGCCAGCAGCCGCGGUAAUUC
rnacentral:rRNA from 1 species